GACAUGGUGGCCAAGUGGUAAGGCGUUGGUCUUGUAAACCGAAUAUAAUGGGUUCAAAUCUCUUCUGUGCCU
rfam:Salmo salar isolate Sally breed double haploid chromosome ssa22, whole genome shotgun sequence.